rnacentral:rRNA from 1 species
GAUGAACGCUGGCGGCGUGCCUAAUACAUGCAAGUCGAGCGAACGGACGAGAAGCUUGCUUUUCUGAUGUUAGCGGCGGACGGGUGAGUAACACGUGGAUAACCUACCUAUAAGACUGGGAUAACUUCGGGAAACCGGAGCUAAUACCGGAUAAUAUUUUGAACCGCAUGGUUCAAAAGUGAAAGACGGUCUUGCUGUCACUUAUAGAUGGAUCCGCGCUGCAUUAGCUAGUUGGUAAGGUAACGGCUUACCAAGGCAACGAUGCAUAGCCGACCUGAGAGGGUGAUCGGCCACACUGGAACUGAGACACGGUCCAGACUCCUACGGGAGGCAGCAGUAGGGAAUCUUCCGCAAUGGGCGAAAGCCUGACGGGGCAACGCCGCGUGAGUGAUGAAGGUCUUCGGAUCGUAAAACUCUGUUAUUAGGGAAGAACAUAUGUGUAAGUAACUGUGCACAUCUUGACGGUACCUAAUCAGAAAGCCACGGCUAACUACAUG